UAAUAUGAGUUGCGGGAGGAACUGAUGC
rnacentral:sRNA from 1 species